CAGCAGCCGCGGUAAAACGAAGGGUGCAAGCGUUAAUCGGAAUUACUGGGCGUAAAGCGUGCGUAGGCGGUUUGUUAAGUCUGUUGUGAAAUCCCCGGGCUCAACCUGGGAAUGGCAAUGGAUACUGGCAAGCUAGAGUGUGUCAGAGGAUGGUGGAAUUCCCGGUGUAGCGGUGAAAUGCGUAGAGAUCGGGAGGAACAUCAGUGGCGAAGGCGGCCAUCUGGGACAACACUGACGCUGAGGCACGAAAGCGUGGGGAGCAAACAGGAUUAGAUACCCCAGUAGUCCCUGUCUCUUAUAC
rnacentral:rRNA from 1 species